UCUCAGAUAUUGGGCAUCUGUUACGAUCACGAAUGAGGCUCAUUGACGAAGGUAUGAUUAAGACCUGGACUUCUUAUUCCACAUGUUUUUCCUUGCUCGAUACUGCAAGCUUCUUGAGGAGAACUCAUUCAGGGGACGGACUGCAGAUUUCUUGUACUCUCUGCUGCCUAUUUACCAUGGGUUAAUAUUUAUUUUUGGUUGUAUUUAAUUAAACAGAUUAAUGCCUGCUACAAAAGCCUUCUUUUUCUAUAUUCCCCCCUGUAUUAGUUGCUAGGAUUUUCUUUGUAGAUUGUCCAAUAUGCUUUUAAUUUAAUAUGUUUAGCCA